GGCUGAGGACUCUGUGUACCUACAGUUUGCUUUCUAACCGACUGCGUGUGCUUGCGUGUGGGUUCGGGAGCAAAUGCAGGGGGGGCGGGCAAACGAGUGCGAGAGAGGGAGAGAAAGAUGAGAAGAAGAAAAAAAAAAUGUACGGCGGAAAGACUGAUUAUUCUGGAAGUUAACUCAUAUUGCACUCAAGAAGGGACUCGAGAUUUUGGAGGCUACUUUUUGAUAGGAAAAAAAAAAUCUUGGUCGUUAAAAUCACUAUUCUCAAAACAGCAAGUUGGCUCUGGUGACCUUACAGUGAGGGAACACCUCGUGAGUUUGACUGACGAAGAGACGCACUGAUGGAGAAGUGAAAGUCGUUCGGCUCUGACCCCGAACAAUGAGCUCCAACGUGACGGGAGCAGACAGCCGCCAUCAUGGAAAUGUCACGGCCAACAUCAGAGACCCGGCAGCCUCCUCUUUCAUUCCCUUAAUCCACAAUCCCUCCUCUCCUCUCCUGAGCGGCAUACAUAUUCAGCAGCUCAAGUCCUCACCAUUCUAAUGAGGCCUAGACCAGCGGGCUAUGAAAGAGAGGAGAGAUACAGGGAGGUGGGUGGGUGAGUGAGCGGGGGGUUUAAAAGAGAGGAGAGACCGUCUUUGAACUCCCAAAGAAAGAGAGAGGAUGAGGAUGAAUAGAUGGAUGGCUGAAGUGAUGAGACAAGGAGUGAGAGGAGAGACAGAUCAAAUGCUUCUGAUUCUUUCCUGGUCUUUACACAGCAGGGUUAGUUGUGUUCGAUUUAAAUGCCGCUUUAAGAGAGCGUCCUGUUAUAUUUCAUCACUCGAUUCACUUGAGACACUUAAGACUGAAGUGUGUCUUUAUGUUUGAUCUGUUCCAGUUUAAAGGGAUCCAAAAUGGCAGUUUUAUCGUCAUUCAUGUUGUUCCAAACCCGCAUGACUUCAAUUGUUCCAAAAAUUGUUAAGCAGAGCAUUCACACCACGCCGUUCCGCACUUCUCUGACCACAGGUUAGGAUUGAUACGCAAGUGAUUUUAUUUUUCAAUGACCAUGCAGAGACACUUAUAGUUUAAGGCAGGUCUUUUGGUUUGCCCGGCCAAUGGCAGACGAGGAAGUAUGGAAAGAUUCUUUUUGCAGCUUCCUUCGGCAUAAAUACAAGAACCAAACGAGACAGACCAACGAAUAAAAAAAGCUAUAACUUUACAAGUCGAAUAAUCUCCUGAGGUAGUGAAGAAAUCUAAAAUGAAAAUGCAUGCAUUUAACAGAAGCUAUUAUCCAAAGCGACUUACAAAAGAGACUACAAAAGUAAUUGAUCGAAGACAGAUUCCAAAAUAUCGUCAUCGGUCUAAUUAGGUCAAUUUUAGGCAUAUUUUAGAAACAGAGAAGUACAAACAAAAUGCUUUCAACAAAAAUAAAAAAAUAAAAAAUAGGCAUAUUUUAUAAUUUAAUCUUUAUUCACUAUUUUAUAGCGAAGGACUGGUAUUUUUAAGUAGUUACACAAUUCCAGUUCCACAUUUCAAAAUAUUUUAGAACUGUAAGUACUUUAUAAAAUUAAUGUGAACUAACUGAAAUAACAUAUAUACUUUCUAUAUAUUUGCACAUUUAAAAAAAAUGAAUUUAUUCAUAUAUAAAUGAACGCACAGUUUCCUAAUUGCUCUUAAAACUUGCUGUAAAUCUGCAGUACAAUAUCCGCAGUCACGCUGGCUAUAAAUACAUACAUUUUCGGCGAUCAGUAUCAUCUAAAAUUUCUCUAUCAGCGCAUUCCUAGUUCAAAGCCUCAAAAAGGAGACGUUUUUAGCUGCAACUAAAGCAGUCUCUGGGCAUAUCUGCUCAAAUGAAUGCUGUAGUGGUGUGAAAUUGGUCAUUUUCAGCACUCCUACACUCUUGUAAAAGUAGAAGAGGGUGCCUGAGGUCUAUUUUCCCCUCCUCACACACAGCUAGCAGCGGGAGGCAGGAAGCGUGGCCUGAAAGACUCGCUGGACGCGCUAUCAGAAGGGGAAGUUCCCGUUCGCAUUCGCCGCUUUACAAACCAGAUGUUUCAUGGCCUGGAUCUGGUUAUUGGAACAGAGCGAUAGUGCCAAAUGUGAAGCGAGUGCACUUCAGUCCGACGCUGUGAGCAAGCGCGCUUCAGAUAAAUGAGGGAAAUCAGGAUCGCAUGCUAAUGUGUUUGAAUUUUUAACAGAGGAUAGAGGACCACGAUGCAUUCGCUUGCAUUUGAGGGAGGCUUUACACACACGUGCAAACCAGUCCGCCGGUCGUCCAUUGUUGGUGUGAGCAGGUGUGUGAAAGGUGAUAACAGAGUCUGCUCUGGGGUUCACCAAGGCUGGGGAUUCAGCUGCUCCCAAACACACAUACACACACACACACACACGCACAUAUAUACAGGCCACCAGCCGUUAAACCGUUCCACUUAGCUGAAACCAGGUGCAAUAACCCAACGCUAGAGCUCUUGGUUUCAGUAAAGACCUAGUUCAAGUCAGUAUAUGAACGGUGUUUGUUAAUACAGCUAGGGUUGCACGAUUAUCGGUGGGAGAAAUUCACGUUUAUGACUUCUGUCACACUGUAAUCAAUCAAAGAUUUUGUAGUUGUAUUAAUUGGCUGUUAGUGAAUUAGUUUAAAAUGAAAUUACACCCAGAAAGCAAGCAAUGUAACAAUAGUAUAACAUACCUAUCACAUGUGCAACUGAACUAAUGUGAUGGUAUACAUUGUGCACCAAAAUUGAUAUCUUAAUUAAUUUACAGUGUAGUAUUUAAUACUGGAGGGACAGUUAUUUAGAGAACUCUAUUCUUUUAUUUUUUAUUUAAUGUUGCAUUUUUGGUACCCUUGCGAAAAGACUUUAACAUACUUUAAUAUAAUAUAUAAUAUAUACGCUUUCUUUUAAGUACAACUGGAUUGUUUCUGCAAGUACUGGUUUUUUUUAAAGGUGCUAUAUACGUUGGAUUGACACCGAGUGGUUGAAUUAGAUAUUGCAGUUCAAAUUUUAAAUAUAGGGUUUUUUCACCCAACCAAUUUAUCGAUUGACAGUACUAAUUAUAGUAGCUGUUCUUAGAUUUUUAACAACUAAAAAUAGUUAAAUUAUGAAGGUUUUUAUGAGAGUUAUUUUUAAAUGUGUAUCAGAUGAAGGCAAUCUAACUAUAAAUAAGAGAAUGCAUGCAAUCAGUAUACAAUAUUGGAAGUUAUGUACACAAUAAGAAAAAAUUAAGCAUUGCGGGGUUUUUUCUUUUUUACAAAAAUUUUAAUUAGUCACAUAACCAACAAUAAUUGUCUCCAGCAGUCCGCCCUUUUGAAGACUCCUGUGCUCAACAGGCAUGUCUGUGGCCGCUAAGAGCAAUUCCAGCUAAAAACGCUUAAUUGCAGCCGUAAUCGUAACCUUGACUAUUUGAUUAGUUCUGCAGCCCUAAACGUUUCCUUCCUUAAACGUUUUCUUUCUUUCUUUCUUUGUGUCAUAAAGUGAUGUCAAAUGCCCGUCCAUACGAACCCACAUCCAAAAGAACCGCUCAGACUUACGCUCCCUUUUCAUUGUCAUACCUCGCAUGAUAUUCUAAUCAGGGAUUUUUGAAAUCCCCCAGCAUACUCAGCCCUCUUGAUUUCUGUGCCAAAGAAGAGAGUGGGGGGGGUGGAGAGAAAAAAGACAGCAUAUAGUGUGUUUAAAAGUCGCCGGGAUUGGUUGUGUAGUUUGGAGGAGCAGUCAAAUGGGAGCGUGCAUUAAUAAUGCAUGCCUGCCUCAAAGAGCUCUCACACAGGAAACACAGACUGGGGUUCAGAUCAGGGUAAAGAGAACAGGCCUGGAGAGAGAGAGAGAGAGAGAGAGAGACAUUAAAAGAAGAGUAAAAGCCAGGAAUCGCUGAGGUUUAUUGGGAUUUAACCCCCUGUAUUUAGUCUCUUGUUUGCGUUGUGUUUUCCGUAUUUUAAAGGUCUCAUGAGACAAUGCGUGGCGCUUUUAGUCAUGAGUUGACGUACUUCCAGCUGAAAAAAAGACGUUUGGGUGAGAUGCUAGAUAUGUUACUUGCUAGUCAGUUGCAGGCGUUAUUGGGGGGCGGGGCAUUCGCAUUCCAAAAAACAUCUGAUUGGACAAAAAUCUGCGUAGUGCGGGAUGAGUCAUCGCCUUUCAACUUUUAGGAUUAAACUAGCACUCAAUCGCUAAUAAACGUGAUUAAAAUUCAAAGAAA